rnacentral:misc_RNA from 1 species
GGUUAGUUCUAACUUUUUAGCAAUAGUUGGUUUAAACCCAAAUAAGUUUAUCUCACACUACAUGGACUCUUGUCUUUGCCACUCAUUCAUCUUUGCUUUUUCAAUUAAAUUCAGUAACAAUGUCUAAAGAUUUUGCAGAAAAUUUUCCAUUUUAAGCCAAAAAUAAGAGUAGACUUUGCUUUUGAAAGUACUAACUCUUUGUUUUUGCUUUCAUAUUGUAUACAGUAUUUAGUUGUUUAUUAGAAAAUCAAAAUUAAUUUCAGCAAAGAUGAAACAAUCGGAAAAAAGAACCAAUUUGAUUAAA